AACACAUCAGAUUGCCUAGCAUGGACAUGAAUAAUUGAAGAACACCAUCACGGCAGCAGUCCUCCCAAGGGGCUUUUCCAACACCUUGUUAUUAGCUGUUGGAUUGCAUGGGCAGACACACUUUCUGGCAUCACAAAGAGGACACUCGGCCAUCUGGACCUGCUCUACAUCAAGCACAACUCUGAGGCCACUCAGACCGUCAUGGAGAUACCAGGACUGUGUUAGAAGACAGGACUACUAAUAUAGAGCUGGACAACGUCUGGGAUGAUGUAGAGUGCAAAACUGAUCUCCCUCAGCACCAGCAGAACCAAAUCCCACCAACAGGUGUAGAGCAACAUGCCGCUGCUGUCUGGACUGAACAUCCUUCUGCCACUGACUGGAUGA